UACGUAGGCAGCAAGCGUUGUUCGGAGUUACUGGGCGUAAAGGGUGCGUAGGCGGCCCUGUAAGUAUGGUGUGAAAUCUCCCGGCUUAACUGGGAGGGUGCGCUAUAGACUGCGGGGCUCGAGUGUGGGAGAGGAAAAGUGGAAUUCCUGGUGUAGCGGUGAAAUGCGUAGAUAUCAGGAGGAACACCGGUGGUGUAAACGGCUUUUCUGGACCAUAACUGACGCUGAGGCACGAAAAGCGUGGGGUAGCAAAACAGG
rnacentral:rRNA from 1 species